UGGGUUUGGACUCUAACAUGUGCGGUU
rnacentral:piRNA from 1 species